GGAAGUAAAAGUCGUAACAAGGUUUCCGUAGGUGAACCUGCGGAAGGAUCAUUACCGAGUGAGGGCCCUCUGGGUCCAACCUCCCACCCGUGUUUAUUUUACCUUGUUGCUUCGGCGGGCCCGCCUUAACUGGCCGCCGGGGGGCUCACGCCCCCGGGCCCGCGCCCGCCGAAGACACCCUCGAACUCUGUCUGAAGAUUGAAGUCUGAGUGAAAAUAUAAAUUAUUUAAAACUUUCAACAACGGAUCUCUUGGUUCCGGCAUCGAUGAAGAACGCAGCGAAAUGCGAUACGUAAUGUGAAUUGCAAAUUCAGUGAAUCAUCGAGUCUUUGAACGCACAUUGCGCCCCCUGGUAUUCCGGGGGGCAUGCCUGUCCGAGCGUCAUUGCUGCCCUCAAGCCCGGCUUGUGUGUUGGGCCCCGUCCUCCGAUCUCCGGGGGACGGGCCCGAAAGGCAGCGGCGGCACCGCGUCCGGUCCUCGAGCGUAUGGGGCUUUGUCACCCGCUCUGUAGGCCCGGCCGGCGCUUGCCGAUCAACCCAAAUUUUUAUCCAGGUUGACCUCGGAUCAGGUAGGGAUACCCGCUGAACUUAAGCAUAUCAAUAAGCGGAGGA
rnacentral:rRNA from 2 species